UUUGUCUACUCUCUUCACCUUAAAUAUAUUGUUUGUUAUUAUAAUAAUCCAGAUGGUAGCACUGUUGAAUAUUUGACCAACUUCAUCAUCAGUCAUCACUAUUCUUAAACAGAAAUGCUCUAGAUGACUCCCCAAAUGUAAUAGAUAAAUAGAUAAAGAAAGCAGUGGGUACAUUCAAAUACAAUUACAAUCAAAAUACAAGAGCAAAUAUAGAAACAUGUUAUAUAAAAUAGAGGUAGUGAAGUAUUAAUUAAUUAAUUAGUAUUAGUUAGUACUGUAGUUAAUUAUUUGUGUGGAAUGGAAUCUGAUUGGCCAAACUGUUCCUUUACCUGCAGUUCUUUGUUGAGCCCACCUGAUGGUGCUACAGCAGCUUUAUAAUGUGCAGGAAUAAAUAGAUUCAGCAGGAGAGGAUCAAUUAUAGUCAUAUUACUUACUAAAUACGUUCAUUUUGCGCAAAUUUUACAAAUAAAAAAAUGUAGUUGUUUGAGAAUUAAAUGUUUUUAAUUUCGUGACUUACAUUUAAGUCUGCUCUGUGACUGAUUAAAACACUCAGGGAAUUAUAAAGUGAAACCUUACAGAGGCGCAUAGAUGAUGUUCUUACAUAUACAGGCCGCGGGAUGACUCGUCACGUUCUAAGAGCAUCUUAUGGGACACAUUUUGAUUUGAUCUGAAGUUCUCCACAGGUUAACAUGGGCUUCAUAUCUGGCCUCUGUGGUCGGACUCCAGCAUGCUGUUUGGACCAGGCUCCUCCAGGUGAGAUGUGGGCUGACGGGCCGCCAUGUUCACCGAGUGGACCAGAACGUUCCACGGUUGCCAUGGUUCGUCUCCAGGUGCAUCAUUGGGUCCGGACCAAAACAUUUGCAAGACUCCGAAAUAUUUUCAAAACAUUUCCACUGCAGAUUGUGUUCGCAUCUCAACCCUUGUUCAAGACCCAGUGUCACUGACAAGAGGACUUUGUCAAGAAAAAAACAGUCAUCAACAGAGAGCAGAGAAAGCCCUGCAGACAGACGCUUGUCCUCCAGAAAAGAUGGCGCAGCGUACGGUGAGGAAGGUUAUCCUCAUCGAGGCCCUGCCCAUCAGACCACAGGACGUCCGCCUCAGGGUCCCAGCACCAGCCUCCCGCAGCAGCUGCCCAAAAAGGUCAGAUCGCUUCUCUCGUAGCUCUGCUUCUGGCGCUACCGUUCGCUCCUCCUCUCGCCCUACCUUGGGCUCUUCAUCAAGCUCUUCCUCUCGCCCUUCUUUGACCACCUCCUCUCGCCCUUUUUCAAACUCCUCUCACCCUUUUUCUAACUCCUCUCACCAUUCUUCUAACUCCUCCUCUCACCCUUCUCUUAGCUCCUCCUCUCGUCCUACCUUGGGCUCUUCAUCAAGCUCUUCCUCUCGCCCUUGUUCUUACUCCUCCUCUCGCCCUACCUCGGGCCCUUCAACCACCUCCUCUCACCCUUCUCUUAGCUCCUCCUCUCGUCCUACCUUGGGCCCUUCUUCAAACUCUUCCUCUCCAUCAUUUUCUUCCCUGCGUGGCACUUCUGCCCCUUUGGUGUCCAGUGUUCAUGCCCGGAUCACUUCACGAAAGCGGCAGAAGGCGUUCACUUCUAUCUGGCCUAUACCUAAGGGGCCGUGUAGGCCUCAGCCUCCAUGGAGCGGCCCUAAGCCAAAGUUAGUCCAGAACCAGCAGCUGUGGAGCGGCCCUGAACCGGAGUGGGUGAGGAAUGUAAGGCUGGACAUGGAGGCGAGGGAUCAAUAUUUUAACAGGUGGUUCAAGAGGAGCGCAGAACCUGAAGGUGAGCCUGUUGGUGAGCCUCCAGGUAAGCGCCUCUGUCCCUUGAAUUCAAUUUCAAUUCAGUUUAUUUCUCUCAUUCAAUUGAACUAAAAUCAAUGAGAGUUUUAUUUGACUCAAUUGAAUUGAAUUAGUUCCAAUGGGCUGAACCACUUUUUAAAAUUUCUUUGUCAAGGUUCAAGGGAAGGUUCACCCCUUUACAGGGUGUGAGGAUACAAGGAAAGCAAUUGAUUUGAAUUUAUUUGAGUUGCCUUGUAUUUAAUUCCUUUGAAUCUGUUUAAAUUGAUAGCUACAAAGUAAGAAACGAAGGGGAAACGAGGAAAGCAGUUUAUUUGAAUUUGAGUUGCCUUAUUUUCACCUUCUUUGAAUCAGUUUUAUUUGAAUCAAUAGCUGCAAUGUAAGAUGCGAAGGAGAAACAAGGAAAGCACUUUCUUUGCAUUUAUUUGAGUUGCCUUGUUUUCACCUUCUUUGAAUCAGAUUUAUUUGAAGCAACCAACUUUUAUGUAUUUGAGUUGAGCUGCCUUGUGUUGCGUUCUUUCGCGUUGUGGGAUUGAAGGACCACAUUUGUAAGAAUGUGUCCUUGAAGAAGAACAACAAAAAGAAGAAAAAGAAGAAGAAAAGAAGACGAUGAAGACGAACAAGAAAUGAGAAGAAACAAAAGAAGUAGAGAAGAGACAGGACAGAAAGUCACAGUCAAAGAAGAGAAGAAGAAGAGAAGAGGGGAGAAACAGGACAAACCAGAAGAAACACAAGAAGAGAUGAAGAGAGGGACAGAUGGGAAAUUAACAAUUCAAAGAAAUAGAAUAAAAAAAAAAUGUGUGAUUGGGAAUUAGACUCCGUCAGGAAGAGAAGAAGCGCGAUGAUAUAUGAAGAGAGAAGAAAAGAAGAAAGAACAGGGAGCGUGAAUCUUCUCAUGUAAAAGGUAAUUAUUACAUGUUCAUAUCAGAUUUCAUGCAGUAUUUAAUUAUGACUCUGUACGUGAUAUGUAAACAACCAUCAUUGUCUUUCAUCUGUCUUCUAGAAAGGAAAGGAGAGACUGAGAGGACGGGGAGGGACGGUGGGCAAUAUCAAGUGUGAACCCCCAUACAAAAGAUAUCUUUGUCUUCUAGAGGAGAGCAGAGGAAAGGCAGUCGAGAAGAGAUGAGACGGGAUGGAAAAAGGCCAUAAAAAGCUGGAUCAAACGUCAGAAGCUGCCAGAAGUCAAACUCAUCUCACCACAAUGACUUUUGACACAAUCAAACAGUAAACAUGUGUUUCCAAUAAAAAGUCAAAACGUGA